GUAUGGGGCGAGCGUUGUUCGGAAUUAUUGGGCGUAAAGGGUAUGUAGGCSGUUUGAUAAGUCAGGCGUGAAAGUCCAUGGCUCAACCCUGGAAAGCCGUUUGAAACUGUCAAACUUGAGUCCAGGAGAGGAGAGCGGAAUUCCCGGUGUAGCGGUGAAAUGUGUAGAUAUCGGGAAGAACACCAGUGGCGAAGGCGGCUCUCUGGACUGGAACUGACGCUGAAAUACGAAAGCGUGGGGAGCGAACGGGAUUAGAUACCCCGGUAGUCCACGCUGUAAACGAUGGGCACUAGGUGCAGGAGGUAUCGACCCCGUCUGUGCCGUACUAACGCAUUAAGUGCCCC
rnacentral:rRNA from 1 species